GCCUCUAGUGAGUGUUGUGGCGGCCCGUACCCUAAACCGACUCAGGUGGUCAGGUAGAGAAUACCAAGGCGAUCGGGUGAACUGUGGUUAAGGAACUCGGCAAAUUGCCCCCGUAACUUCGGGAGAAGGGGGACCUCUGCUGGUGAUGGGCCUUACGUUCUGAGCUGGUGGGGGUCGCAGUGGCCAGGGGGAAGCGACUGUUUACUAAAAACACAGGUCCGUGCGAAGUCGUAAGACGAUGUAUACGGACUGACGCCUGCCCGGUGCCGGAACGUUAAGGGGACCGCUUAGCCAGCUUCGGUUGGCGAAGGUGAGAACUUAAGCGCCGGUAAACGGCGGUGGUAACUAUAACCAUCCUAAGGUAGCGAAAUUCCUUGUCGGGUAAGUUCCGACCUGCGCGAAUGGCGUAACGACUUCCCCGCUGUCUCAACCACAGACCCGGCGAAAUUGCACUACGAGUAAAGAUGCUCGUUUCGCGCAGCAGGACGGAAAGACCCCGGGACCUUCACUACAGCUUGACAUUGGCGUUUGGAACGUCUUGUGUAGGAUAGGUGGGAGACUGGGAAGCUGUCACGCUAGUGAUGGUGGAGUCAUUGGUGAAAUACCACUCUGGUCGUUUUGAACGUCUAACUCUGGUCCGUGAUCCGGAUCGGGGACAGUGUCUGGUGGGUAGUUUAACUGGGGCGGUUGCCUCCUAAAGAGUAACGGAGGCGCCCAAAGGUUCCCUCAGCCUGGUUGGCAAUCAGGUGUUGAGUGUAAGUGCACAAGGGAGCUUGACUGUGAGACUGACAGGUCGAGCAGGAGCGAAAGCUGGGACUAGUGAUCCGGCAUCGGCGUGUGGAAGCGGUGUCGCUCAACGGCUAAAAGGUACCCCGGGGAUAACAGGCUGAUCUUCCCCAAGAGUCCAUAUCGACGGGAUGGUUUGGCACCUCGAUGUCGGCUCGUCGCAUCCUGGGGCUGGAGUAGGUCCCAAGGGUUGGGCUGUUCGCCCAUUAAAGCGGUACGCGAGCUGGGUUUAGAACGUCGCGAGACAGUUCGGUCCCUAUCCGCUGCGCGCGCAGGAGACUUGAAGGGGGCUGUCCCUAGUACGAGAGGACCGGGACGGACGAACCUCUGGUGUGCCAGUUGUACCGCCAGGUGCACGGCUGGUUGGCUACGUUCGGAAGGGAUAACCGCUGAAAGCAUCUAAGCGGGAAGCUCGCCUUGAGAUGAGGUCUCCCACCACGAGAGUGGGUAAGGCUCCCGGUAGAUCACCGGGUUGAUAGGCCGGAGGUGGAAGCACGGCAACGUGUGGAGCUGACCGGUACUAAUAGGCCGAGGACUUGAUCA
rnacentral:rRNA from 1 species